rnacentral:rRNA from 1 species
AUUGAACGCUGGCGGCAGGCCUAACACAUGCAAGUCGAAAGAGUGGCGGACGGGUGCGUAAUUUCGUGGAAACUGCGUGAUGGAGGAGGAUAACUACUGUAACCGGUAGCUAAUACCGCAUACAGUCGGAUGUGCCCAAAUGGGAUUAGCUACUAGGUGGGGUAAAGGCUCACCUAGGCGACGCUCCCUAGCUGGUCUGAGAAGAUGACCAUCCACACGAGAACUGAGACGCGGUCCAGACUGCUACGGGCGGCAGCAGUGGGGAAUAUUGGACAAUGGACGGAAGUCUGAUGCAGCCAUGCCGCGUGUAUGAAGAAGGUUUUCGGGUUGUAAAGGACUUUGCGCGGGGAGGCGUUACCCAGAGAAGAAGCACGGGCUAACUCCGUGCCAGCGGCCGCGGUAAUUC